AACCAUAGAAACCUGCGGAGUACCUGCGGAGGGAUCAUUAUAGUAUAUGGAAUCUCCAUUCUAUAAACCCACUCUGCGUAUCUUGUAACUGUUGCUUCCAUGGGACUUGGUUCCGCCACACCGGCUUCACGGCUGGUGAGCGCCCAUGGAAGGAGAAACAAAACUCUUCUUUGAAAUGUAGUCAGCCUGAACAAGUUUUUAUAAACGUUAAAACUUUUAACAAUGGAUCUCAGAUCGGAA
rnacentral:misc_RNA from 1 species